CUUAAACCUUUGAUACUGUUCCUGCCUGUAUUUUAAUUGCACUGUUCAAUGUAGGGAAGCACAGUUCUCUCCUUUUUCCCCAGGUGUCUCUUUACAUAAAUGGAUGACAAGGUAUACUCUGAGCCAAAGGUCAUUGGGCUCUGUAGGGUUUCUUUUUUUUUUUUUUUUGAUUCUUUGUUACCUGUUUUCCUGUUUAUAAAAUAAAUAAAAAUAAAAAUGUGGUGGGUGAUCUCAGGGCAAUCAGACAGAAUGCCAUCCACUGUGAGUAGGUCUCCUUUUAGUCUUUUGUCAGCACCUAUAUGCCUGUACCUAUAAUAUAAAUGUUUAUAUCUGUGUGCUUAUUUUAGCAAUUCACACUAUUUUUUGAAAAAUUUUUUUUUAAAGAUAAGCUUUUUGCAUAUGAGGGGCAGUUUCCUAUGAGGCAGAGAGGAAAGAAAAAAGGCAGAGCACCACUUUGGUACUUAUAAUGCUGGGGAUUGAACCUAGAGCCUCAAGUAUGAACGUCUAUUUGGGCUAUUUCCACAGCCACUGUUGUAUAUAUUACCUUGUAAUCUGCACUAGUCAGUGAAGACAUCACAGACUUCUCCUUAUCAUUAAGUCUUAAAAUGUUGUUUUCAGUUAUUGUAUGGUAACCCACAAUGUAGGAAAUAGUAUCCUCUCUCCACCUCCAGAUAGAAGGUGAAAGGCAGGGGUGGGGUGAUGAGAGAGUGGAACAAAGAGAAGGUGGGGAGACACCACAGUGCUGCUUCACUGCUUGUGAAGUUUCCUUCUUUUUUGUAUGAUGUUUCCAUGUGGUAGAUAAGGGCUCAAGCCUGGGUCCUUGCACAUGAUAAAAUGUGCAUUCCAGUAGAUGAACCACCUCCUGGUCCCAGUACUAUCAUCUUUUUAACCAGUGCCUUAAUGUGGGCAUCAUUUGCUGGUUAUAGAAUGAUUUUUACUCAUUCUAACUAGCCAGAGGAAGCUGUUGUAGUGAGCAUGGUGGGAGGAAACCACAGAAUUUGGUUAUUUUCUGGUGGAUUUAGCCUGUGGUCUUGAAGGUAACACUCCUCUUGGCUUCUUACUACUUACAUUGGGGAUGGUACACAGUGGCUUUUCUCAGCAUGAAGUGGCUGUACAAUAAUGAAGUGAGUAGUGAUGGCAUUUUGGGAUUCCUCCCCCAUUUCUUUAGAUAGUGUGUGUGUGUGUGUUAGAGGGAGAGAGAGAGAGAGGGGAAGGGAGAGGGAGGGAGGGAGAGAGAGAGAGAGAACACAGACCAUUUCAUCAUAAGCAAUGCUAGAGGUUAAAUCUAGAACCUUAUACACUCUCCCCAUUGAGCCACCUCCCUGCCACUCUCCAUGCCCUUUGGUAACACAACACUAGUGAAAUAGCUUGGCCAGAAUCCACCUAGUUCACCUUACUGGGUGAGUGACUCUGAGCAGAUUGUUUUUCACCUCCUUUGACCUCACUCUUCCCAUCUGUAGACAGGGUACCAGUCCUGCAUUAGUGAGUGACUGAAGACAGAGCAGGGACUUGCCUGUCGCAGUGCUCACAGUGCCUGGUGUGUGGCUGGGGCUUAGCACACAGGGCUGUGACCAUCACUGGAACUACUUAACAGAUUCUGUAUUCUUAGAAACCAUCAACCCAUGAGCCACAUCAGUUUCAUCCCUUUAAAGUCCACCUCAUUUUAGGUUGAAAAUAGUCUUCAGUCUGUUCUUCUCUCAUCAGAAUUGACUCAUAAUAACUUUCUGUGUUUCAUAAAGUCAGGUCCUCAAAGGACCAUCGUUGUCAUGGUUGAAUAUGCUUAUAAAAAUAGUGCUGCAGGCUGUGUAAACUUGAUCAGAAGGCACAGUCUUGGCGACAUGGGAGACACACACCUUUCAGUGAUGGAAUAGUCUGCUGAGCUGACUACUCUGAAGUUAGGGAUCUUGGUUGAUUGUGUGAAUAGGGGUAGUCUUUAAAACAUAAAUUCUUUCUACACAAAAGUGAAAAGGCAAUGUACUGACUAGGAGAAAAUAUUUGUAUAUAACACCUUAGACGAGCUAAUAUCCAGAAUACUUAAAGAAUUCAUAUAAUUCUGUAACAACAAGCAAAUGACAUCAAAAAAUGGACAGAUUUUGAAUACUCAUUUCUCAAAAAAAAAAUACAGCAUGUGAAAAAUGUUCAACUUCAAUUACUUUUGAAGAAAAUGCAAAUCAAAACCCCAAUGAGACAUCACCUCACACUUGUGAAGAUGAUCUGUAUCAAAAGGCCAGAAACAGGAUCAGGUGGUGGUGCACCUGGUUAAGUGAACAUGAUACCAAGCAUAAGGACCCAGGUUAAAGUUACUCUGAUCUUCACCUCCAGGAGGAAAGCUUCACAAGCAGUGAAGCAGGUGUCUAUCUUUCUCUCCCCCUCUCUGUCUUCCCCUCCUCUCUCAAUUUCUCUCUGUCCUAGCCCAACAACAGCAGCAGCAACUACAACAAUAAUAGCAAUAACAACAAUGGGAAAAAGAUGGUCACUAGGAGCACUGGAUUCGUAGUGUAGGCACUGAGCCCUAUGGAUGACCCUAGAGGCAAAAAAAAACCCAAAAAACAAA